GGUGUUCAAUCCGGAUAUCGGUUCGGUUUAGGUUCGGUUUUUUUCGGUUUUCGGUAUUUCGGUUAGUAAAAUAUAACUACCAUUCUAAAUCCAUAUUUACUUCGGUUCGGUUCGGUUUAUAUACCGUCGGUUUUUGGUUUAUUCGGUUUUAUACCAAAAAACAUAAUUAUUUAGUUUGAGAUCAUAUAAAAUGAAUUUUAGAGUCAUAUUGUCAAUACAUUCAUUUAUUAAAA
rnacentral:lncRNA from 1 species